CAGUCGCCACGGUAAUACGUAGGUGGCAAGCGUUGUCCGGAAUUAUUGGGCGUAAAGGGCUCGCAGGCGGUUUCUUAAGUCUGAUGUGAAAGCCCCCGGCUCGACCGGGGAGGGUCAUUGGAAACUGGGAAACUUGAGUGCAGAAGAGGAGAGUGGAAUUCCACGUGUAGCGGUGAAAUGCGUAGAGAUGUGGAGGAACACCAGUGGCGAAGGCGACUCUCUGGUCUGUAACUGACGCUGAGGAGCGAAAGCGUGGGGAGCGAACAGGAUUAGAUACCCGUGUAGUCCUGUCUUUAUACAC
rnacentral:rRNA from 1 species